UACGUAGGGUGCAAGCGUUGUCCGGAAUCAUUGGGCGUAAAGCGCGCGUAGGUGGCUUCGUAAGUCCGUUGUGAAAGUCAAAGGCUCAACCUUUGAAUGCCGAUGGAUACUGCGAAGCUAGAGUACGGAAGAGGCGAGUGGAAUUCCUGGUGUAGCGGUGGAAUGCGCAGAUAUCAGGAGGAACACCAAUAGCGAAGGCAGCUCGCUGGGACGUUACUGACACUAAGGCGCGAAAAGCGUGGGGAGCGAACGAGG
rnacentral:rRNA from 1 species